GACGAACCGUGCGAACGUUGUUCGGAAUCACUGGGCUUAAAGGGUGCGUAGGCGGGCAAGUCAGUCAGGGGUGAAAUCCCACGGCCCAACCGUGGAAGGGCCUCUGAUACUGCGAGUCUAGAGGGGGAUAGGGGCGUGCGGAACUUCCGGUGGAGCGGUGAAAUGCGUAGAUAUCGGAAGGAACACCGGUGGCGAAAGCGGCGCGCUGGAUCCCCACUGACGCUGAGGCACGAAAGCCAGGGGAGCAAACGGG
rnacentral:rRNA from 1 species